UGAAUAUUAAUGCGCUGGUGUCACGGAAGGUGUGCAGGAAACUAGAAAACACAAAAUGAAUAUACGACUGACUGGAUCCAAAACUAAGGAACAAAUAGGGAGAGCCCUGCAUCAGACCUGGCUCUCUCCCUGGCUGCUCAGCCUAUGCGAAAAUCCCAAUGGUAGAUGAUCACAUAUCCUCGUACCUCGGCUGUAUAACACCUGCACACCCUAUAAUAGUGAGGGGACACGACCACCGGCUCCCUACACUAGAUACGGAGGGAGUCAGGGUCACCUGGGAUCCAGCAAACAGAAAAAC